AGUGCCUGCCCCAAGAAGAGACAAAGCACUGAGGCAGCCUGCCUGGGGAGUCUUCAGGUACACUGUGUGCUUCUCUGACCUUAUGAAUGUGGGUCUAUAAUGUUAAGAGUUUUGAUUUACAGCAAUAAAAAUGAAAUCAGGAAAUCAGCUGAGUACAAAUUGUACAAUAUGACCAGAAGAAAAUGGGGCUGGCAGGCAGAACAACUGGUCAGAACACUCGCUCUCUCAUGAAAAAGCCAUAACCAAAAGACAAGAUUUCUGUUUACAUCAUGAGAACAAAAUCACAGUUUCAAGACUCAGCGGGAAAACACAACCCUGGUUGAAAACUGAAAAAAAUAAAAUAAAUAAACACCUUAGGUGAUUUCUUCUUGCUGAGGAAAAGUAAGAUAUAUCUAUUUUAUAGAAUUGAACUUUUCAUCAAAGCUAGACCUCAGGUGAGUCCUCUCCAGGCUUCUGCACAGUGCUGAACCGUGUCCCACAUACCAGCUGGCACUUCAUGCACCUAGACACCACAGGAUGGGGGCUCCACCUUUGUAUGAUUGAAGUUAAUCCAUGAAAAGACUCGUUUCUCCUUCGUCCUCAAAAUUACUGCUGUUCUCAGAUCAUUAUGCAGUGCAAGUUUUCAUCUCUGAAUAAAAGGUGAUCUGUUUAUAACUGUAGCCCAUUUGGAAUAAAAAAGACAUAGAUUUUGUAAUUGAGUGAAGCAUGAGCUGAGAGGAAAAUUGUUUUUUUUUUUAAAAAAAAAGAUUAAGUUCUUUGGUAAGUUCUAGGUCAGAAUUUAUGGAGCAAAAAUCCCUUAGUCCACUCCAGAAGGCUAUUUCCAUUAACAUUAGGAUAUAUCAUAACACUAGCAAUCAAUUUUGAAUUCUGCAGUGUACUGAAAGUCAGUUUCUGCAGCUGCAGGCUGCACUCUAUUUUGAUGAGCAAGUGUUCAUUUCAUCACUUUCACAGGUUUUCAAAAUGACUCCAGUGAAUUAAAUCAGAAAUUUUAUUAUGCAUUAAAACUGUAGCAUAUUGAUAAACAGCUAUGAAUGUCAGCUCACAGUGCCACACUUUACAACUUGAAUGGAAAAUCUUUCCAGGUGCAGAAGCUGUAUAGCUUGAACUUGUAUACUUAUAUUCACUGUUGAAGUUACUGAUUUCUAAUUUAUCCUUUCCCUUCCCCUGCCCCAGCUCUCAUUUUCACCAAUGAUCUGAAGAUUUUGCACUUUCUGCCAAACAUGUCUGAGAACAAGUUUUCAUGUUUUACAAUACAUAUAUAUCAGAUGAUAAUGAACCUCUAUCUAAAAAUCAGUUCUUAUGAAUGGAGAGAUAUGUUUUGUGUUUUCUUACUUUGUUUUAGAAAAACUUGGUUAUCUGUCAAAAGACACUUAAAAACUUAGGUUGCUGUGAAAUUAAUGCCUCCUUUCUAUUACUAUGGAAACUACAACAGAUACAAAUAACACAAUGAUGCUCUUUGAUAGAGCAAAUUCUCAGCUACAAAACAUUCUUUUUCAGUGUAGUCACCACCACUAGCUAUGCAUUUUCACCACUGAUGAACAAGAGCCUGCAUACUCUGCUCUUAUCUACAUAAUUGGAGGUGAUCCACUAUUUUGUAGCUGCUAAGAUAGCUUCAUUGCUAAGAAAAUGUUGCCUGUGCAAUCCAGCUUUCACUGUCCUCACAACCACUGGCUGGUCUCCAAAAACAUUCAGCAAGUGUUGAUGAAUGUCAAUGAAUGCCAUUUUUUUCCACAUAAAGUAAUUCAGUGGCACACAUUUAUUUCGUAUGUACUUCCAUGUCUGAUGCUAUUCUGCCGGAUUGCCCCCCUGCUGCCAUCUCUCACAUGGCAACAGCAUGUAAUGGAGUAUUGCUGGGAAGGUUCAGCCUCUGCUACCAUACCACCAAUAUUCAUCUCUGAAGUUGUGGGCCAACAGAAUCAAAUAGGAGGCAUGACUUUUAGAGCAUCCCUUGAAGGCCUGUUGUUUUUUGUUUCCAUUCCUAGAAUAAGAUAAGUACGUGGAAUAGCAUGAAUUCUUAAUUUAUUGUUUAUGGGAUAAAAAAUUUUGAAAACAAUUUUAAAAAAAAAAAAAAUUCCAACAUUUUAUAUUUGUAGUUUAUUUCUGUCUAAGAAGGCAGGCUUGAAAAGAAACAGAGCUAAACUGCAAAAAAUUGUAGCUGAACCAUCAAAGACUUAGUCAUUUCACAUAUUAAAUUAUUUGAAAUCUAAAAUCACAAGACUUUUACAUACUGUUAGAAAGUUAAAAGCUUGUAUUACCGAAUCUCAGUUCCACAGAAAUUGUCACACUGCAAUAGGUUAAAUGAACACUGUAUGAGGAAAAAUCAAUUGAAACACAUUGCAAAACAGUCAACAGGAGACAGUUUGAGAAAAGUUGCCUCUUUUCUCAGGCAGUCAUUUUGAAAAAUGAAGUUGUACUUUUUAUUUCAUAAAACAUGAACAAUCUGACUUGUUUGAAUCAUUUAAUGCCUUUCCCUUCCUCUCCUUCACUACAGCUAUGGUGUGGAUACAGUGAGCAAUACAAAGAAUUAGUGACAGUAAGAAAGAUGAUGCAAUAAUUUAAGCUAGCAUUGCUGCUGCCUCCUUAAAUAUGAAACUCUAUAAUUCUUGGGUUCCUUCUAUGCUAACUCUUCUAAUUUUCACGCUUUCUCUGUCAUACUCUUUGCUUUUAUCCUUUCACACACAGACUUAAAUGUACAAUCAUUCAAUUUUCUAACCUCAGUAUUCGCUUUCAGUUUCAAGAAAAGACUACAGCUCAUACAAUUUAACUUCAGAUCUGUACUGUUUUACAGUUCGUUGGAUAGCUCUAGGCCAAAGAACAAGAAGUAACUGACCAAGCAAAGAUCAAUUUAUCUAUUUCUUCUAUUUGACCUAUUCCACUUGGUUGUAGAUGUAACAGCAGAUUUUAAGAAUGCAGUGAAUGGUCUGUAGGCUAAACAAACUAUGCAUGAUAGCAAAAUCAAACAUUUUACAGUGUAACAGUAUUUAUACUUUUGAUUAUAUCAAAUUAUAUCCAAUGUGCUAAAGAUAACUGUAUUUUUCUUGAAAUAAAAAAUGGAAUUCCGUAGACUUCAGUUGAAUUAAACCAUAUUUUUUUGGUGAAACAUACAGUUUGGAAGCUUUUAUAUUUCGGGGGGUCUUUUUUACUGUAUCAGAUAAACCUAGUAUUAAACUCAUGUCAACAAAACAUUGUUCUUUGGAAUAUUUCUUUCCAAUUAGUAGAAUCUCUCAUCCUUAACAAAUGGAUUUCUUAUCUAUAUUGUGUUUGUAAUGUCAUAACUAAGAGCUAAAGCAGGUCAAUAAUAUUUAAUGAGAACUUAAGUCAGACCAAGAAAUAAAAUAGAAACUAUACUAAAAAAAGUUUUUAAGCUGUUAUGAACAUAAUCGUAGCUAUUCUGAAGCAGAAAGAGACUGAGGCACUUUGGAACUGAAAUAUAGUGAUAAGAAUUUACAUUAUUGGAAAGUACAGAUUUGUUUGUUUAUUUGUUUGCUUUUUUUGUUUUCUGGUCUUUCAUGCUCAUUACAGAUACAAUUGAGAAACUGUUAUUACUAUAAUAAAAAUAAUUAUUAUAUUUUA